rnacentral:rRNA from 1 species
AACGAACGCUGGCGGCAGGCUUAACACAUGCAAGUCGAGCGCCCCGCAAGGGGAGCGGCAGACGGGUGAGUAACGCGUGGGAAUCUACCCAUCUCUACGGAAUAACGCAUGGAAACGUGUGCUAAUACCGUAUACGUCCUUCGGGAGAAAGAUUUGUCGGAGAUGGAUGAGCCCGCGUUGGAUUAGCUAGUUGGUGGGGUAAAGGCCUACCAAGGCGACGAUCCAUAGCUGGUCUGAGAGGAUGAUCAGCCACACUGGGACUGAGACACGGCCCAGACUCCUACGGGAGGCAGCAGUGGGGAAUAUUGGACAAUGGGCGCAAGCCUGAUCCAGCCAUGCCGCGUGAGUGAUGAAGGCCCUAGGGUUGUAAAGCUCUUUCACCGGUGAAGGUAAUGACGGUAACCGGAGAAGAAGCCCCGGCUAACUUCGUGCCAGCCGCCGCCGUAAUAC